GACCCUUAGGAGAAAACGUAGCUCCUCAAAUGAUGCUAUAUAACCAAGAGGACAUCACAGACUGGACAGUGGUUGGUAAUUCAGUUUCUUUUAUUACUAAUCCUUGUACUCACUGUGCUUUACUUUUGAGGGAUGCUGAUUUUUAUUUCAAACUUCUACAUAUAACAGUUGGCAUUUAGUUUUGUGCAGAAACCAAUUGGUUUUUCAAAAUCAUGACACUCAUGUCGACAUUUGCCUCUCAUGAUAAAGCAACUAUAGGUGUCUUUCACGGCACAUUUCACUGUUAAAAGGGGAAAAAGAAAGCACAUAAACCAUUGAGUCACUAUAAGUGUCUUAAGGUCCCACCUUGGGAUAAAUCAGUUGUCAAUGUGAAAAUAAGUAUAGCCCUUGCAUUCUGGGGUAGGGAUUUGGGAAGUCAUUUGUUUUGUAUUUUUCUGGUGAUGAUUGUUCUGUGAUACUUUCUGUUUCAUUCUCAGUUUCCUCUCCAACUUCUGGCUUGAUCCACUAGUUGUUAAAGCUUAGUUUUCCCUGAGAAUUUCUAAAUAAAAAUUGUUAGAUUUCAAGUAGUUCUGGAAUGAACACCACAUAUUUCUAUGGCUACUUACCUACUACCCACCUAACAUGAUUUUUUUAAAAAAACAACUUUAUUGAGGUAUAGUUGCUAUAAAAAGAACUGCACAUAUUUAAUGUGUACAAAUGAUGAAUUUGGGCAUAUACAAAUAUCUAUGAUCCCAUCACCUCCCAAAGGCUUUUUUCUCCAAUUUCAAAAAAAAAAUUAAACAUUUAAACAUUUUUGGUUUCAGGAUUUAAAAUGGGAAGAUUCAUUAAUGUUGCUUCAAUUGCUAUCUUGCUCGAAUAUUUUUUAUAAAUCUCUUUUAUUAGAAGAGUGAAAAAAACCCUAGCAGAUACUGGGAUAAGAGAGGUUCUUUGAAUAUUCACAAAGAUUUGAGCCUAGGCAGGAGCCUGGUUUGCUGGGGGGAUGAGUGUUGUCAUGAAUGACAAGCCUUAAGUUCAAAGAGAAAGAGGUAGUAUCUCUCAGCAUCUCCGUAUGUUUCCUUGUUUCAGAGUCUUCUCCUUUAUAAAGUUCUCAGGAUUGCAUCAUCAUAGCAUAUACCAGCUGAUGAACUCAUCUACAUCUGGCCAUAAGACUUAAUGUUUCAUCUCUUCACAAAAUGUUUAAAUUUUUAGAAAGGUCACAUAAGGAGGAAGACGCCCAAAGUUAAAGCAUUAAAUGUAAUGGUAAAUUAUCAAAUAUCAGUGACAAAGGUAUGUGAAAGGUGCUCUUUCUCUAGGUGCUCAACAUAUAGGAUCCAACUGAGAUGGAGUCAAAGGUACUGAUAACCCAAUUCAUGUCAUCUGCUUUCAGUGAAGUUAUGUUAGCAUACAGUCUUACUGUUACUUGGAGUAACUAGACAUUUUAGGAAAAAAUUGAACAUAUUAUUUUGAAUUUUUUGCCAAAUAUUUUAGGCAACGAGAUAUGCUUUUUCACUGUAUAAAUUAAUGAUAGAUAUCUCUUUAUUUGUAUUAUCUAGAGAGAUGCUAUUUAUUGCCUUUGAUGCCAGAGGGAAAAAGCAUUAUCUUGCCAGCUUAAAAAUGCAUCCUCAGAUUACACUGUCCUACAUGAUGGGUGUGAAGCAUGUAUGUUGACUUAAUUGGAAUUUACAAAUAAUAGAAGAUGACAGCUGUCAAACACUAGUAUUAAAAAAAGAAUAGCAUUAUUUAAGUGGGAAUUGUAAAUUAGCAUUUUUCCACUAGUAACAAAAACAACAAACAGCUUCUCUCUAGAUAACAGCUAUGUAUAACAUAAAAAUUUAUUUAUGUACAAGAAGGAAUCACAAAUUUCUCAAUUUUUAGAUGAAUCUAUGCACAUACAUUCAUAAUGUCUCUUGGGUUUAUAAUGAAACUGAAAAUGUCAUGAAAAUUUUCACCUUUUUUCCCAAAGCAAGUGACAUGAGGCACACAUGUAAAUCAUGAUAACAUAACUGGAGCUAAUUUUAUUAUCCAAAUGUGGUUGCACUAAAUAAGUCUUCUUUAUUUUAAGAUCACCCCCAUAUGGUUUUAGUAAAAACAAACCCUGAUUGUAAUUCCAUUAGUCUUGAGUUUAGAAUGAUGUAAUAAAAUAACAAUCCUCAAAAUUAUCAUCUGACAUAUUUUACUUGAAUUAUAAAACAAUUAAAAUGAUUUGAGUCUUUUAUCCAAAAUACUUAGAUGUUUGAGUUUACUCACAGCCAGACUUAUUGUUAGAGCUAGACUUCCUUGGUCUCAUCUGUGCUGCUAAGGAAUGAAGUUGGACUUCAAAGAGGAAACUCUUGCAGUUCUAGACCACUCCUAAAUCAGAAUGCCCUAUAGUUAUUAUUUUUUUGUUUGUUUUAUUUUCUUAAGGUGAGUGGAAUUAUUUUCUUGGGUGUGUGUAAAAUGAUUGUUUACAGGGUCUUUACAUAAAUAAGAAAAAUACUUUUCCUAUCAUAAGUACCCUGAAAUGUGUUAAAACAGCUCUUUCGAUGAUCUCCAUCAAGAUACUUCCUUUGGCUAUUGAUCUAAUCUAAUAGUAGUGUGUACAAUGAAAGUUUACAAAUGAGGGUACACAGUUUAAGUAUGUGAAAUCCAACAUGGUAAAUAUUACCUCCCCUGUUUCCUGCAAUAGUUGUCAAGAAAGAGUUUCUCGAUGAGAUUUCUAGAUGUUACUUGCUUUUUAAGGUGUUUUAAUACAAUGUAAAAGUAAUUAUAAUACUAUUUAAGAUGAAUCUGAUGUGUAUUAUACUUUAUGUUGGGCAUUUUGUAUAUUUAAAUAUCAUUAAUCGUCAUAAUACUACAGAUAGACUUAAUUACUGUAUUUAAUUCGCAAAUGAGGAAAUUGAUGCUGAAUGAGUGUAAAUAACCUGAUAGAUUUGCAUAGCCAAUACAUGGCAAAAGCCAAAUCUGAACCCAGGUAUCAAUUAUUCCAAAGUUUAUACUCAUUUAAUUAUCUGGUUAGUAUUAAUUGCUAUGUAAUUGGACCUGAGGUAAUACAGCCACUGAAGUUCUCAAUUCUUAAUCAGUUGAAAACACCAUUUUGUGUUUUUCUCAAAGUAAACCUUGUGACAUAAUAUAACCAAACCUAUCAUGAGGUUACUGAAAAACCAACUGUUACUCUACUACACAGUGCCCAUCAAUGUCUCAAGGAUCCAGAUGGUUAUACUUUAAUAUUCUAUCCAAGUAGUCAGUCUGGACAACCAGCCUGUAGUCAUUUAAUCAAGGCCUUUAAAUUGUCUCAUACAAUAAUAUGACUCACCCGGAGCCUUACUGUUUAGUAAGACCACAGUCCUUUAUUUGUGAUUUACUCUUGGGACCGUAACCAACCACUCUCUUAACAAUCUGGUCACUCUUGUGUCUCCAGUUGACAUCGACCAAAAUGCAACUCUCCAGAAAGAUAUUUUACCCUCUCAAUAUUUACAUUUUACCUGGUGGCAAUGGGGACCAGAAAGAAAAAUAAAACAAAGAGAAAGACGUGAAUCUUCAUGAUUGAAGACAGUCAGCCGAAUUAGCAGCUCUGCAGUGUUUGAAUAAGAGAAAGGUGGAGAGCACAUCUUUUUAUACUUCUCUCCAUGCAGUUGUACGAAUUUAGAAACUGGGGUUUAUCAAAAGUUAACACUCCUGUUUAGCAGUGCCUGGGGCAAAAAUGCAGGACAUUACUUUUCUUUUAUCUUGGGAUAUAAAGGGUUAUGAUAUCCAUAGUAUAUAAUUAUCUUUUUAAUAACUGGUUGUCUAGGAAGUGCAUGCCACUGAGAAUCUCCUAUUGAAGGUCUGAAAAGUAGAAGCAUGAGAAUUUAAUCUUUGCUUUUGAUUUAGUUUCUCUCUCUCUCUCUCUCUCUCUCUUUUUUUUUUUUUUUUUUUUUUUUUUGAGACGGAGUCUCGUUCUGUCACCCAGGCUGGAGUUCAGUGGCGCGAUCGCGACUCACUGCAAGCUCUGCCUCCCGGGUUCACGCCAUUCUCCUGCCUCAGCCUCCAGAGUAGGUGGUACUACAGGCACCCGCCACCAGGCCGGCUAAUUUUUUGUAUUUUUAGUAGAAACGGGGUUUCACCGUGUUAGCCAGGACAGUUUUUCUCUUUUUUAAAUAGCUAUACAUAAUGAAUAAACUAGUGAAUUUAAAAAGCAAUAUACUCACACCCGUAAUUCCAGCACUUUGGGAGGCCGAGGCUGGCGGAUAACUAGGUCAGGAGAUUAAGACCGUCCCGGCUAACACGGUGAAACCCCGUCUCUACUAAAAAAUAGAAAAAAAUUAUCCGGGCGUGGUGGCGGGCCCCUGUAGUCCCAGCUACUCCCAGAGGCUGAGGCAGGAGAAUGGCGUGAACCCUGGAGGCGGAGCUUGCAGUGAGCUAAGAUCGCGCCACUGCUCUCCAGCCUGGGCGUCAGGGUGAGACUCUGUCUCAAAAAAAAAAAAAAAAAAAAGCAGCAAUAUAAAUUAUUGUCUCCUAAUUUGUGACUUUAGUUACAGAUCCCCCUGAUCUGUUGUUAUUGCAAAAACCUCCCUCAUCAUUACUGAAAUAAAUAAUUCUUUGUUGUCUCUUGCAUGCAAUGUAGAUAUUAGGGACACUGAGGUAUAAGAGAAUUUCACAAUAAGCACACAAACACACAUUCACACACAUAUACAGGCAGAUAAAAAUUCUGUGUUUGCAAAAUGCCGAAUGAUGACACUCGCAAUAAGUAGUAAGUCAUUUUAAUAAAAAAAUGGAUUAUUUGGAUGUUCUUUAAGGAGAUUAUUUUAGCUAUAGUUAUGAAAAAGAGUAUGUUUAGCAAGAGAUCCAAGUCAUAUUUUGUUACUUCCAGGUCUUAAAAAAGAAUACCCAAGCAAAGCAAAGCAAAGCAAAAUAUGACUGGAAGUACUUAGGGGUAGUGAUUACCAUGGCCCACUAAAGAGAAGUUAAAAUAAAAUGCCCAAUUCACAGACAUUAAAUGUUUCUGCUUUUAGAUGGUAAGAAAAAUGUUUUUUUAAUUAAAGAUUAAAAAAUGUAAUAAAGCUCAUUAUGUUUAAUUGACAAACCAAGCAACUUGGAACAUUGCAAAUUAUUCAAUGGCUGUUUAUGUAAGGAACUGUUGAAUUCCUAGGACCAGUCUCAGGAACAGGUUUGCAAAAGUGGAAUUCAGUCCUCAGAACUAUUUAUAUACCUAAAUGUGAAAACUAUCACAUGCAGAAAAAUAUAUUUACACACAUAUAUAUAUGCAUGUUUAUAUAAAAUAUAUUGAAAAAUAUAUAGAGAAACAUUUUAUGAUCUUCUCACAGGAAAGGUGUUUUUAAGCAAGAAAAAUGCUUUAGAAACCAUAUAAUAGAUGAUACAAUUUAACUAUGUACAAAUGUAUAAUUUUUUAUGAUCCCCAAACAAGCAGAGUUUGAAUAAAACAUUUGCAACAUAUAAAAGCCAAGAGUAGACAUAAAAAUAUACACAAAGAUUGUGUAAAAUUGUUUACAGAUAUGAAUAAUCCUAAAGAAAGUUAAACGAUGGUUAUAAAAAUUAAAUCACAGGAGAGAAAGUACAAAAAUACAACAAACUUAUCAAAAAUAUUUAACACUUUGGGAAUGAGGAUAAUAUAAAUAAAUUUCCCUAUGAAUUUUUUUUAUAAUUACAUGUUGCCUUUUUUCAAUUAUAGAGCAAUGAUGAGUUGUAGGCCCAUUGUGGGAAACAGGCAGCACAGCCUAGCUGUGAAUAAACAUUAAAAAUCCACAUAUACUUUGAUGCAGCAGUUUCACAUAUUCUCAUUUUUUCUGCAGAUAGUGUGCAUACAACUGUACACAAAGAUGUAUAUACACUGAUUAGGGAUCCUGGAUCCUGCUCCACACCGUGUUUCCUGAACACCUCUGUAUUUUGGAGUGCUUUUGUAGAAUUUUUUCAAAGUUCUCUUCUGCUGCCUUGUACUUGUCUGGGCUAGGAGGGCUACUGAGUGAAGAAUCCCAGUUUCUGACUGGACCUGAGUAGGUACUGAUGUGGUUUCUUUCCUUUAGGCAAUCUUCUGACCCUCUAGCCUUCCAAAGAAUGCCUACUGUUAACCAGAUGUCUCUGGAAGUUCUGAGAUUCAUGCUUAAAGGGACCCUAGACCAAGGCCCCUGGUUGGGCAAAAGGUAUGGUGGGUAGAUCACGCUUGCUGGUUGCCACAGAAUUUCUUGUGCAAGAUAAUGAAAGAUAAGGCUGCCAAAAUGGUACUGACAAUCUGAUAUUGGGCAACUUUUACCUAAAUCUGACAGAGAAAGAGUUCAGAGCUUAGAGCUACUUAUAGUUCACUGCUGGUCCUUGGACUUGAGCUGCAUGUUUGGUUCCAUGGAAUGGGGACUUCUAGCACAUCUGUAUUUCCAUAGCAGUGUCAACUCCAGCCUACAACACUCGAGAGAACCACAUUCCUUCUCCACCUGCUGGUAGUUAGGCUCUAUGAAGAACUGUCACAUGCACUGGUUGGACUAUAAACAAGAAUGUAAUAUACCUUUUCUCCACUCAUUCUAUUCCAUUCCCUACCUUCCUCCAUUUGUCAGGUGGUCCUAAGGAUGAGUAAGCUUAUUUUCUGGGAAUUUUCCAGAUUCUUGCUUCUCAUUUUGAAAUGCUAAUGGGACCUUUAGAUUAGUCAGUGUCUUCUCUUGCCUCUAAUGGAUGUAGUGAUUUUAUACUCUCCCUGGUUGGUCUUAAGCUCUGCAAAAGAAGGGAUGACAGUCUUUGAAUGAGACUACUCUUCUUGCUCAAACUGCAGGCUCCUCUAUUGCCCUCACGUCUUGUAGUAGUGCAUAGAUGGGAGAACAAUAGUUGAACUAAAAUAGAUCACAUUCUAGGAAGGUGGUGAUUAAUGCCUGAGAGUUCAAUAAAUGGUUGGAGGUGUUGUUCAAUCUUUAUGCUGUAAAAUUCCUAGCCAUAAGUUUGACAUGAGCAGAAACAAAUUAUCAUUCACAUUUUCCUUCAUAUUCUGGAUAAGACUUAUAUUUGUGGUCAUCACCAACACCUCACGGUAACAAUCAAGAGAAUCAUUAAAACCUUCCUUCACAGGCAGCACGAUGGUGCAGCAUCAGUAGUAAUGACAAAAUCAGCAAUAAAGAAAAUGGCUAAAACUGCAAAGGCAAACUAUAUAUUGUUUCAAUAAAAACAGGUUCUGAGGAACCAUGACCUUAUGAGUAAUAAAAGCAUUCCUGACUUUUUCAAAUAGUGGCAAGACCUGAAAUUUGUGAGGAUCAGGCAUUUGUUUCCAGGCUCUAUGAAGAAUCUUAACAUGCACGGACUGAACAACAAACUAAUAUGUAAUAUACCUCUUCCAUACUCAUUCUAAAUCUUCCCUGACACAUAGCAAUUCCUCACAUGGACCCCAAAAUUUUGUGUAGCAUUUUCAAAUUAAAUUAUGUGUGCAAACAGGCAUUCUGUAAAAAAAAAAUUUGUUGUGAUGGUGCACACCCAAAGAUUAAUUCUGCUAGAAUGCUAUUUCUGCUCUUAACAUAUUUUCUCUUAAAAUUAGAUACCAAGAUUUACCAUAUAGGAAACAAGUAUUUCCAAAAACAAAAAUCAAAUUAUGCAUUAUUACCUAUAAAAUUCUAUCCUCUUCUAUUCUACUACUAACAGGCAUACAUUUUUGGCUAAAUGAAUCUCAGAUAAACACCUCCACUUCAAAACCAAUUCCAACACCUUUAAUCCAUAAAAGGCAUUUUCUAGUUCCUCAUAUUCACGAUCUCAGUAUGAAAUACGCUGGUACUCAUUUCCUGCUCUCUUUUUCUCCCAAUUAAUAAUCUAAAAAAUGCAAUGAAGAUUUUUUUUUUACUGUUUUGAAGCUAGGAGAAGGGAAUAAUGUUCUCUCUAAUUUUCCUGACUUCUCUUUCAAAAUAUGCAUCUAUACGUAAUAAUUAUAUAUGUAUGUAUAUAUCACAUACACACACUAUAUACAUAUAUAAUUUAUAAUUUGCAGCUAGCUCUGCUUCACCUUGGUGAAUUCUUUCUUUUUAGUGUACCUUUUUUAUUUCUCUGGAAAGAUGGAGAUACAAUGAAGGACUAGCAAAGGAGAAUGGCUCAAGGGUGUAUGUUCUUUUCUAGACUCUACCACAGCUGUUUUAUUGUUUUGUCACUCUUUGUUUCUCAGUUACCUUAAUGUAAACUAAGGGUUUUGUAACUCAGUGAUGUUUUGCUAGGUGUGUUGUAAAGAAUUUUUAACCUUGCUUAAAGAGAGAUCUGGUCUUUGCUGUCUACUUCUGAGAGAUAAUUUCUAAAUUCUUAAGAUGUCACGCCUUAUAAAAUGUCUCUGUGUGCCUGAGCAUCUGGGGUCACACCAGAUACUCAAUCAGUGUCAUCUAGGGUGGGGACUUCAGGUCAUGAAGUAUCAAUUCAAAUUCCUGGACACUGAAGUGGGCUGACUAGGGUGAUAGCUCAUGUGUAUUGCCACACAUUGCUGGGAAAAGUAGCAUUGUCUGUGACUGCCCUGGGAAACGACAACUGGAAGCUCUACUCUUGAAACUUCCUGGAGCUCUGCCUUACGUGUCUCUUCUAUUUGCUGAUUUUAAGUAUAUAUAUAUUUUUUACUAUAAUAAAUCAUAUUCAUGAGUAUAAUAACUUUUAUUUAAUUCAUUUAGCCCUUCUAGUGAAUUAUCAAAACUGAGGGUGGUCUUGGAGAACUCUGGACUUGCAAUUUGGGAUCAGGCGAAGCUGGUUUUAGAGUCUGCCCCCUAAUUUUGCACCAGGAAUGAGAAAUGCAUCUUCUUCUACUCAUCCUUCAGAGCACAGUUUAAACUUCACUUUUUCAGAAAAUUAUUUUCUGAUUCCAACGGCAUUUUUUUUUCAUUUAAUAGUAUAUUGGUUCUUAUGCACUGACUGAACAGUAAACAAACAUGUCAUUCUUAUGUUGAAGUCCUAAUUCUCAGUGUGAUUGCAGUUGGAGACAGGAUGUUUAAAGAGGUAAUUAAAGUUAAGUGAGCUCAUAAGUGUGGGGUUCUAAUCCAAUAGGAUCGUGUCCUUAUAAGAAGAGAAAGAGACACUGGGGAUGCACACUUCAGAUGUCCAUGUGUGGGCAAAGCAAGAAGAAAAGCCUUGCAGGCCAAGGAGAAAGGUUUCAGGAGAAGUUAAGCCUGCAAACAUAUUGAUCUCAAACUUUCAGACUCCAGAACUGUGACAAAUGAACUUCUGUUUUUUAAGCCAUCCUAUCUGUGGUAUUUUGUUAUGGCAGCUCUUACAGACUAAUACUGUUCUUCACAUCGUAUUUUCUCAUCAUGCUAGCAAAUUCACUUAAAUGUUAUUUAGUACAAUUGAAAUUCAAUAAUAAAUCGCAUGAUUCUAUCACUUCUCGGCCUUUUGGGUAAGAUCAAGUGUAAUUAAUUGCAUGAUUCCUAAUUUAAUGUGUUUUCAUUCCCUUCUCAUUCACACUCGCUUGAGUAUCUUCUUAAUGAUAUCAGUGAUCUCGCUUGCUGCUCAGUCGCCAAAAUUUUGUAUAGUGAAGCAGAGUAGAUACUUAAUAGUGGUUGAAUGAGUGAAUGAAUAAAAAAUGAAUUCAUAAAAGAUUGAAUAGCUAAUAAAAUUUCUGUAGGUGAAUAUUUACUGUAUAACUAACAUUUGAGAGACUUCUCCAGUUACCUAUACCCUAUUAUCAAUAUAACUUUAUUCAUGCUCUGAGCCUGAAGAUUCAUUGAUCAGUGACCGACUUCUAGAUCUGACAAUGAACAAGUCUCAUCUCAGCCUAAAUCAUGACUGUAACCACAAAUGAACUUGGUUGGAGCAAAUCACAAAAACAUACUGUUCUCAGCAUAAAUUCACUGUCACUAAUUUCAGGGAAGCGGGAGCAUGGGAGCAUGAUUCUUAGUGCUGCCUGGCAAUCCUAUCACAUUUCCUGGUUCCUUCAAUUUUUCACUCUGUUAGUGAAUUAUUUCAUGUCCUUUCCUCAAUUCUGACAUCAACACAGCCUUUUCCCAUUUUUUAAAAUCUUAGUUGAUGAACUUUAUACUUCACUAAAAAAAUUGGGGCAGUAAGUAGGGAACUUUAUCAAUUUUCAUGACAAUUGCUAUUCCCCUAUUUCACAGGCAGGAAUUACCUCAGUUCUCUCCUAUACUACUCUGAGUGAAUUCUCUAUGCUACUGUGAUCCUAGCUAAUGAUGACACCUCUGCUUUUGCUUUAGAUGCAUCCUUCUUAUCUACUCAAUGAUGUCACUCUAGCAACUCUCAUUUUCUCUUUCAUCAUCAAUUUUCUUUGCCAAUAAUUUUUUUCAUCACUUAAAGUGUUUUAAAAUUUUCAAGGAUAAAUAUUGAAACCACAAUCUGUCUUGACCUCAUCUGACCUUUAAUUACUGAACCAUUUGCUUUGUUCCAUUUACUGACAAACUCUUUAAAAUAAUGUUCUACAUUUUCUCACCAAUUGCCAUCUUCUAAUUCUCUCUUGAACUAGGUUUUUGCUUCUUCUCCACUUUUGAAAUUGCUUUAAUCAUGAUCUCCAAAGAUUUUCACAUGCUAAAUUCAUUGACCAUUUAUUUGACUUUAUAUUCCUUGGCUUAUAGCAAUAGUCGACACAUGCUCUUAAGUCGGUUUAUACCACACUUACCUGGUUGUCUCCUAAUAUAUUGGCCAUUUCUCGUUAGUCUCUUAUACUGGUUCUUCAUCUCAGUUGUCUUUAAAUUUUGGAAUACCCCAAGGCUUAAUCCUAGAAGCAUUACCAAUACUCAUUCCAAAGAAGAUCUUAUUAUCUCAUUCUAUCUGAUGAUUUUAAAUGUCAUUUAAAAGUUGCUGAUUCUAUUUUUAAAAAUCUCUAGCCUGACCUUUCUCUUGAACUUUAUACAAAUAUCCAACUUACUGUUUGACCUUUCCAAUUAAAUAUUUGACCUCAUAUGGCCAAAUUGAGCUCUUGACAGAUAGGCACAUCCUUGCCAAACUUUUACCUCUCACAGUUUUCAAUUCCAUUUCAUAGCAACUCUAUUUUAUAACUACUCAAACAAAAAUUUUAGCAUCAUUCACGGCCUGCAAGGAUGUAAGUCACAUCCUCAUUGUUUGUCCCCAGCAAUUCUUUUGGCUCUACCUUCAAAAUGUAUCAGGAAUGUGGUUACUUCUCACACACCCACUCUUGCCAUUAUGAAGAGGAAAGUCUUCUAGGAGUGUCAGAAUAAUAGAAAUUAAGAGGAGAAAAGGUAUUUUAAUGAGUAUUAUUACAAAUUACAUAUAAGAACCACUUUAAAUAGUUUAGAAAUAUGUGAAUUAAGAUUGAAAUUCCCAUUUGUAGGACUGAAUAAUAUAGACUACAGCUUUAUUUGUAUUUCUAUAUUGUAUUCAUUGUUAUUUACGAAUGGGAAAACUGAGCGCUAGUUUAAUAAUUUGUCUAAGAUUACAUGAGUCAACAAUAGGUACUCUAGAAUUAAAAUUAGAGAUGGCUUCUUCCAGGAUUUUCAGAGUUUGCCAGAUCAGCUCUCAAAUUAAAUUAAAAACCAUAACAACUUGAAUGAAAUCAUGCCUGCUUAAGAAAAUAGGAAAUAAGUAGGAAUGUCUAGGAUGUUUUAUUAUUUUCCAACGUUUAUUGAUUAACACCUACUAUAUUACAAGUCUGACCUAGGUUUGAGAUGAGACAACUAUAUUGUUGCCACAAUCUUCCUAGAAUUCCAUUCCUCAAAGUUUUAUUGUAGAUUUUGAAUUAUUUGCCUUACUUCUCAUUACAUUCAAUUUUUCAAACUCAUUUCUUAUCCCUGGAGUGCUUUACACAUUUGUAUCUUCUCUUCUCAAAUCUUGGAAUCUGAUCCUUAUAUCUGGCUCAUGAUCAACCCUGACACAGAUGUUAGCUAUCUUCUUGUCUCUAACUUGUGCAUUCUGCUAACUUAAAGUUUUUUGAAAGGCAGCAGUCUCCUGUUUUCAGCAAAAGGUAGAUUCCAAGACCUCUAGUGAAUGCCUUAAAACCCAGAUAGUAACAAACCCUAUAUAUACUGUUUUUUGCUAUAUAUUUAUACUUAUGAUAAACUAAUAAUAAAAUGGAAAAAUUAUAGCAAUAUACUAUAAUAAAAGUUGGUGAAUGUAGUCUCUGACUCUUAGCCUCAAAAUAUCUGAUUGUACUCUACUCACCUUUCUUCUUGUGAUGAUGUGAGAUGACACGAUGCCUACACGUUGAGAUGAAGUCAAGUGAAUGACACAGUCAUCAGGAUAUAGCCUUCGGCUACUAUUGAACUGUAUAUUCUGGAAUCGGUGUAACCAUCCCUUACAUGCAGUAAAUGGAUUGGCAUAAUUAGUUUGAGGGGAUCAUUUGCUGAAGUCUUCCUUAGGAUCAGUGCUUUGUGGCACAACACAUUGCCAUUCAUUGAAACACAUUUUCUGUUUGUGUCUUCUACCCACAAAUAUAAUGCCUUUUCCAUUUUAACUAAGCACUUAUUAUGCACUAUGGCCAUAACUUUUGCACUUUGAGGUACAACAGCCAAAUUAGCAUAAAUUUCUUGUCCUUUCUUCGCAAUUAUCCUGAUAGAUUUGUUCUUACUAUAGGUUUUAGCAAGCUCAGCAUACAUUUUUUUCCUUUAUUAAGUCAAGAAUUUUUACAUUUUCACUUAAAGCACUUCAUAGUUGCUCUUUGACAUAUCUAAAUUGCUAUCUUGAGUUUUACUCUUUUAUUGAGUAAAAUAAAUGUUACUUCAAUACAAGCACUGCUAUACUGUGGUAGUUGCUCUGAUAACUGAGAUGGCUACAAGUGACUAACAAGUGGGUAGCACAGACAGCAUGGAUACACUGGACAAAAGGAUAAUUCAUGUCUCAGGAAGCAUGAAGCAAGAAGGUGCAAGAUUUUAUCAUGCUACUCAGAAAAGCAUAAAAUGUAAAACUUAAGAGUGGUUUAUUUCUAGAAUUUUCCAAUUAAUAUCCUCAGACUGCGGUUAACUGCAGGUAAUUAAAACUGCGGAAAUUGAAACCACACAUAAAAGGGGGCCACUGUACAAAUCACUCAAAUCCCCAAUGGGUAUUUGAUCUUUGUCCUAGUGAAACCGACUCAAUAGUCCCAUAGACUUUUCUUUUAGAUAAACAUAAAAAUUGACCUUUCUGAUCUUAAAACUUGAAGCUUACAUUUGUAUUAUCUGAGUUCCUUCCUCAGAAAAGGACCUUCAGGCCUCUCAAAAAAAGUAUCAAAGAACUGAAACUCACCAGAUCACCAUAUCCUGACAAUGAGAUGCCUGACCCCUCGUUCAUCAUGACUUCUUUGGUGCCCCUCCCUAGUUAUUGUUUUAUUACACAUUGUUACAUUUCCUUCCUUGCUAUAUAAACACUUAGUUUUAGUGGGUCAGGGAGACGCAUUUGAGACUAAACUUCCAUCUUCUUCACUGCAGCACCUGAUUAAAGCCUUC
rnacentral:lncRNA from 1 species